CACAAUCUAAGUGCUUUUCUAAUCAAAAGCAGCUCACAACACAACUCCCAUGAAGGUGUCUGAAACGUUGCCUUUUCUCUCCAAACUUACAGGGAAGGUGGUCCAAAAGCAACUGUGUAAAAAAAUCAAGGUGGUGAUGAAGACAAAGUUUCACCUGAAGCCAUUCUCCUUUGAACACCCUGGACAGAAAAACAAUUCUCCCUUCCCCAAGGCGGUAAGACCUCUCCUCAGGCAGAUCUGGAGCUGAGGAGCCUGCCUUGGUUCGGACAGCUCACUGCCAAGUCAGCAGCUCCUACUCGGACGCCCAAGUCAAGCCUCCUGCUGUGCUUCCAGUCAUCUCCAACCCACUUCCGCCCAGCAAGCCCCGCCCACCAGGCCUGCACCUUCCAGUCAAUCAGAUCGUGAUGUCAGUCUCUCCCAGAUCCUCCUUUCCCCUCCGUUCACACCCUGAUAGACUCGCCCUUCUCCACUUUCUCAGAGUCCACCUGCCAUUUAAAGACCUUCAUUUGCAAAGGCUUAGUUCCUGCUGAUUUUACUUCCUGAUGUGUUUCCUGCAUAGAUUUUCUUCUGUAAAAUUGAAACAACAGUAGUACUGUCUUCAUAGAGUUGUGGGGAUUGAAAUAAACCAGGAACCCAUGCCUCCUCUGACACUCAGCUUUGACUGUCUCAUCAUUAGAUUGCAUCACCUAAUCUCUUGUGUUAUUUGUUUAUUCACUGAUUUCUUUUUGAGACAGGGUCUCACUAUGUAGUUCAGGUGGGUUCUGAACUCACUAGGUAGCCUAGGCUGGUCUCGAACUCACAACAAUCCUCCUGCCUCAGCCUCUUCAGUGCUGGAAUUGCAAGAGUGUGCCGCUACACCUGGCCCCUUGUGUUUUUUAAAGUCACUUUUUGGUUAUUUAAAAAAACCUGUCUGAUUUCUAUUCUCUCUAAUAUUAACCCGUUUGUGUGAGUGUAUGUGUGUGAGUGUGUGUGUAUGUUUGGCAGUGGUGGGUACCAAAUGUGAAGCCUCACACAUGUCAGGCAAACCCUAUACCACUGAGCUAUACUAGCCCUAAACUGUCUUAAGCCAGCAGAGUCAAGAUAUAUACCCAUGAUCUUUAUAAUGCUCUGGCCUCUCCGCUAAUGAUCUUGUCCUUUACUCAUCCUCAACCAAUUAU
ensembl:lincRNA